GAUGAACGCUGGCGGCGUGCCUAAUACAUGCAAGUCGAGCGAACAGAUGAGGAGCUUGCUCCUCUGACGUUAGCGGCGGACGGGUGAGUAACACGUGGAUAACCUACCUAUAAGACUGGGAUAACUUCGGGAAACCGGAGCUAAUACCGGAUAAUAUAUUGAACCGCAUGGUUCAAUAGUGAAAGACGGUUUUGCUGUCACUUAUAGAUGGAUCCGCGCCGCAUUAGCUAGUUGGUAAGGUAACGGCUUACCAAGGCAACGAUGCGUAGCCGACCUGAGAGGGUGAUCGGCCACACGGGAACUGAGACACGGUCCAGACUCCGACGGGAGGCAGCAGUAGGGAAUCUUCCGCAAUGGGCGAAAGCCUGACGGAGCAACGCCGCGUGAGUGAUGAAGGUCUUCGGAUCGUAAAACUCUGUUAUUAGGGAAGAACAAAUGUGUAAGUAACUAUGCACGUCUUGACGGUACCUAAUCAGAAAGCCACGGCUAACUACGUG
rnacentral:rRNA from 1 species